rnacentral:rRNA from 1 species
GUCGAGAAUAAUUCACAAUGGGGGAAACCCUGAUGGUGCAACGCCGCGUGGAGGAUGAAGGUCUUCGGAUUGUAAACUCCUGUCAUCCGAGAGUAAGACCUGGCGGUGAAUAGCCGACAGGGUUGAUAGUAUCGGAAGAGGAAGGGACGGCUAACUUCGUGCCAGCAGCCGCGGUAAUACGAAGGUCCCAAGCGUUGUUCGGAAUCACUGGGCGUAAAGGGAGCGUAGGCGGCAUGGUAAGUCAGGUGUGAAAUCCCGGGGCUCAACCCCGGAACUGCACACGAUGCUGCCAUGCUAGAGGGUUGGAGAGGUGACUGGAAUUCUCGGUGUAGCAGUGAAAUGCGUGGAUAUCGAGAGGAACACUCGUGGCGAAGGCGAGACACUGGACAACAUCUGACGCUGAGGCUCGAAGGCUAGGGGAGCAAAAGGGAUUAGAAACCCGGGUAGUCC